UGCCUUAGUAGCGGCGAGUGAAGCGGCAAAAGCUCAAAUUUGAAAUCUGGCUCUUUCAGAGUCCGAGUUGUAAUUUGAAGAAGGUAUCUUUGGGUCUGGCUCUUGUCUAUGUUUCUUGGAACAGAACGUCACAGAGGGUGAGAAUCCCGUGCGAUGAGAUGAUCCAGGCCUAUGUAAAGUUCCUUCGAAGAGUCGAGUUGUUUGGGAAUGCAGCUCUAAGUGGGUGGUAAAUUCCAUCUAAAGCUAAAUAUUGGCGAGAGACCGAUAGCGAACAAGUACAGUGAUGGAAAGAUGAAAAGAACUUUGAAAAGAGAGUGAAAAAGUACGUGAAAUUGUUGAAAGGGAAGGGCUUGAGAUCAGACUUGGUAUUUUGUAUGUUACUUCUUCGGGGGUGGCCUCUACAGUUUAUCGGGCCAGCAUCAGUUUGGGCGGUAGGAGAAUUUGCGUUGGAAUGUGGCACGGCUUCGGUUGUGUGUUAUAGCCUUCGUCGAUACUGCCAGCCUAGACUGAGGACUGCGGUUUAUACCUAGGAUGUUGGCAUAAUGAUCUUAAGUCGCCCGUCUUGAAACACGGACCAAGGAGUCUAACGUCUAUGCGAGUGUUUGGGUGUAAAACCCGUACGCGUAAUGAAAGUGAACGUAGGUGGGGGCCCGUAUGGGUGCACCAUCGACCGAUCCUGAUGUCUUCGGAUGGAUUUGAGUAAGAGCAUAGCUGUUGGGACCCGAAAGAUGGUGAACUAUGCCUGAAUAGGGUGAAGCCAGAGGAAACUCUGGUGGAGGCUCGUAGCGGUUCUGACGUGCAAAUCGAUCGUCGAAUUUGGGUAUAGGGGCGA
rnacentral:rRNA from 1 species